rnacentral:tRNA from 1 species
GGUCCUGUGGCUUAAUGAAUAAGGCGUCGGUCUCUUACCCCGAAGAAUCAAAGUUCAAGUCCUUGCUAGGUCG